rnacentral:rRNA from 1 species
AAGUAGGGGAUCGUAAGACCUUGCGCUUUUGGAGCGGCCGAUGUCUGAUUAGCUAGUUGGUGGGGUAAUGGCCUACCAAGGCUACGAUCAGUAGCUGGUCUGAGAGGACGGCCAGCCACACUGGGACUGAGACACGGCCCAGACUCCUACGGGAGGCAGCAGUGGGGAAUUUUGGACAAUGGGCGCAAGCCUGAUCCAGCCAUGCCGCGUGAGUGAAGAAGGCCUUCGGGUUGUAAAGCUCUUUCAGCCGGGAAGAAAAGGUUGCGACUAAUAAUCGCAAUUCAUGACGGUACCGAAAGAAGAAGCACCGGCUAACUACGUGCCAGCAGCCGCGGUAAUACGUAGGGUGCGAGCGUUAAUCGGAAUUACUGGGCGUAAAGGGUGCGCAGGCGGUUUUGUAAGUCAGAUGUGAAAUCCCCGGGCUUAACCUGGGAACUGCGUUUGAAACUACAAGGCUUAG